rnacentral:rRNA from 1 species
CGGGGGGAGCAAGCGUUGUUCGGAUUUACUGGGCGUAAAGGGCGCGUAGGCGGCACCGCAAGUCGACUGUGAAAUCUCCGGGCUUAACUCGGAAAGGUCAGCCGAUACUGCGGGGCUAGAGUGCAGAAGGGGCAACUGGAAUUCUCGGUGUAGCGGUGAAAUGCGUAGAUAUCGAGAGGAACACCUGCGGCGAAGGCGGGUUGCUGGGCUGACACUGACGCUGAUGCGCGAAAGCUAGGGGAGCGAACGGGAUUAGAUACCCCGGUAGUCCUAGCCUUAAACGAUGAAUGCUUGGUGUCUGGGGUUUUAUAGUCCCCGGGUGCCGUCGCUAACGCUUUAAGCAUUCCGCCUGGGGGGUACGGUCGCAAGACUG